rnacentral:lncRNA from 1 species
UCUCGUUAAUUUACUCAUUAAUUAGACACAACAAGUAAUUAUAAAUACAUUAUCAAAUCAGUGAUAAGAUAAAAUUAAUUAACAAAAACACAACUAAUUAAUCAAUUUACACCUCCAGUAUUAAUCAUUUGCAAGUACGUUCUUCUUCAUGUAUUAGAUUGUAGGAAAGUAAUACAACUGACGGUAAAAAUAGACACAAUUGUGUAAAUAAAUAGUAGGAUAUUAUAUAACAACGCAAGAAAGGUGAUGGAAAGAAAAGUUGUUAUUUGGCAAAGAACAACAAAAGAAAUUCUUCAUUCAGUUAAAUUCAAAUUGUAAUUACUAAAAGCAUAUAGUUACUGAUAGAGAACCCAAAAUUAAGAAUUUGAUAAAUAUUAUUUAAUGGGGAUG